AAAUUUACUUAAAGGAGCGAAGCCAGAGCCAUAGAGUAAUGACGCAUCAGGCAGGGGGCUCCCACAGAGUUCCAAACCAGUGCUUCGUCUUCGGACCCCGAAGCCACCGCCAAGCUCUCAUUCUCUCUUCUAACAAAAAGUAAACCCUUUUCUCACCUUCCUUCGCUCUGUCUUUCUUCUUGCAAAGCCCUAACGGUCAACCAAUCAGGGAAAAAGAAAUGGUUUUUUUGCUUUCUAGAUGUUGGAAUUUGAAUUGAAAUAGUGAUUAGGGAGAAAGUAUAAGGCGGGUUUCAUUUGGGUAUUGGAGGGUUGGUUGGUUUGUUUAUUGUUUCUUUUCCCCCUUUUUGUUUGGGGUCGAGUAAUUGGAAAUGGAAGGAGGGUCUGGUAGCAAUUCUGUACCUCCUUCGGCUACGUUUGACAAAUCAAGAGUGUUGGAUGUCAAACCGCUGCGUAGUUUGGUUCCUGUGUUUCCAUCUAGUCCUCAGGCUCCUCCUUUUGUUUGUGCGCCUCCUUCUGGUCCUUUCCCGUCUGGUUUUUCCCCGUUUUACCCUUUUAAUGGACCGCAACCCACUCCUCCUGACCUCAACCAGCAUACCCACACUCCAGCGCCUCUUCGAUCUUUCCGGGCGCCACAGUCAAAUGGGAAGAUGGCUACAGAUGGGAACGCAGAUGGUUCCACAGGUGCCCCAACAAAGCGUCCUGUGGGGCGGCCAAGAUCCUCCUCCGCAUCCCAAAAGAAGGCCAAGAAAGACCUGGUUUUUACCUUGGCUGUUGUUGAUAAUAACUUCGUUUUGGGGAUUACUCCCGCUCAGAGGGAGGAUGGUGACACGGAAGUGGUGAAUAACGUGCGAAUGAGGUUUGAUGCCCUUAGGAGAAGGCUUAGCCAAUUAGAGGAUGCUAAGGAAUCGCCCAAUGGGUGGAUUAGGCGUGCAGAUUUGAAAGCAGCCAAUAUUAUGAUGAGCAAAGGGUUGAGGACGAAUCUGAGGAAGAGAGUUGGAGUGGUUCCUGGAGUUGAGGUUGGGGAUAUUUUCUUUUUCCGAAUGGAGAUGUGUUUAGUUGGGUUGCAUUCUCAGACCAUGGCUGGGAUUGAUUACAUGAUUGUGAGAGCUGAUAUAGAAGAAGAUCCACUGGCUGUAAGCAUUGUUUCUUCUGGUGGGUAUGAGGAUGAGGCAGAGGAUAGGGAUGUUUUAAUUUAUAGUGGGCAGGGUGGUAAUGUCAACAGCAACAAGAAGGAAGCAGCUGAUCAGAAACUUGAGAGGGGUAACCUUGCAUUGGAGAGGAGCUUGCAUCGUAACAAUGAGGUGAGAGUCAUUCGGGGUAUGAAGGAUGCCAUUAGUCCAACAGCAAAGGUCUAUGUGUAUGAUGGGCUUUAUAGGAUCCAGGAGUCAUGGGUGGAAAAGGGGAAAUCUGGUUGCAAUAUAUUUAAGUACAAGUUGGUUAGGUUGCCUGGGCAGCCAGGUGCUUUUGAUGUUUGGAAAUCAAUACAGCAGUGGCGGGAAGGGUUUUCUUCAAGGAUUGGUUUAAUUCUGCCAGACCUCACUUCGGGGACUGAAGGUAUCCCUGUGUCACUUGUAAAUGAUGUUGAUAAAGAGAAGGGACCUGCAUACUUCACAUACUUUGCUAGUGUCAAGUAUGUUAAAUCAUUUAAGUUAACAGAGCCUUCUUGUGGAUGCAACUGCCAUAAUGCAUGUGCCCCAGGUGAUCUGAACUGCUCUUGCAUUAGGAAAAAUGGAGGUGACUUCCCCUAUACUGCCAAUGGGGUUCUAGUUAGCCGGAGGCCGUUGGUUCAUGAAUGUGGUCCCACAUGUCCAUGCAUUCCCAACUGUAAGAACCGGGUGACACAAACUGGUUUAAAGGUUCGCUUGGAAGUGUUUAAAACCAAGGACAGAGGUUGGGGCCUGCGGUCAUGGGAUCCUAUUCGUGCUGGUACUUUUAUUUGUGAAUAUGCGGGUGAAGUUAUAGAAAAAGUAAAGGCAAGGCAGGAUGGAGAAGGUGAAGAUGAUGAUUAUGUGUUUGAUACAACACGUGUUUAUGAGCCAUUCAAAUGGAAUUGUGAACCUGGACUAGUGGAGGGGGAUGGUAAUGACACCACUGAGGAAUACAGCAUCCCUUCUCCUCUAAUCAUAAGUGCCAAGAAUGUUGGAAAUGUAGCUCGAUUUAUGAAUCAUAGUUGUAAUCCAAAUGUUUUUUGGCAACCAGUUGCGUAUGAACAAAAUAGUGAGUCCUACGUCCAUAUUGCUUUUUUUGCAAUGAAACACAUCCCCCCUAUGACAGAGUUGACUUAUGACUAUGGGACUUCCCGCUCGGAUGAGGUUGAUGGUAAUGAUUCAUUGCAUGGAAAAAAGAAAUGCCUGUGUGGAUCGCCAAGAUGCCGAGGUUGUUUUGGUUGAAGAUUGUCUAUGAACAAGCAUUGCUGCAAGCACGCCAUGGAUGGAUAGAGUUUUCUUCUUGAAGUUGAUAAAAGUGGCGUUUCACCGCUGGGAAACAGUAUCAUUUGCAGAAUUGUAUGUUUACUUAUCUCAUUUCACGUAUGAAGAAAAAUGUAGAAUGAAACGUAAGGCAAAUAACAAAGAGAAGUAAUCAAAGAUCAUAACAACCUUGAAAUUAGCCGGUUUAGCCUGGUCGCCUUCCACCACAAUCAAGCCUUAGCCUCCUGAGCAGCUGAUGUGCUAGGCUCUGCUUCUUUCGCUUCUACUUCUUGCCCUUCUUCUGCUUCUUUGACUUCGGCCCCGUCUGAGAAGUUCCAAGCCAAUAAGCAAAUGUUAUGAAUUCAAAGAAACAGCAAUGCAUGCAUAUUUGAACAAUUCAACACACUAAAUUGUUUCAUGUAAAAUAUGCCGGUAGAAAUUUUGGUACGAUGACCAAGACAAACUUUGUAAAUAAAUUUCUCAAGAAAUACAACUAUUUCACGAACAAA